GCCCCUGUAGCUCAGCGGAUAGAGCAGUUGCCUUCUAAGCAAUUGGUCGUAGGUUCGAUUCCUACCGGGGGCG
rnacentral:tRNA from 1 species